GAUGAACGCUGGCGGCGUGCCUAAUACAUGCAAGUCGAGCGAACGGACGAGAAGCUUGCUUUUCUGAUGUUAGCGGCGGACGGGUGAGUAACACGUGGAUAACCUACCUAUAAGACUGGGAUAACUUCGGGAAACCGGAGCUAAUACCGGAUAAUAUUUUGAACCGCAUGGUUCAAAAGUGAAAGACGGUCUUGCUGUCACUUAUAGAUGGAUCCGCGCUGCAUUAGCUAGUUGGUAAGGUAACGGCUUACCAAGGCAACGAUGCAUAGCCGACCUGAGAGGGUGAUCGGCCACACUGGAACUGAGACACGGUCCAGACCCCUACGGGAGGCAGCAGUAGGGAAUCUUCCGCAAUGGGCGAAAGCCUGACGCAGCAACGCCGCGUGAGUGAUGAAGGUCUUCGGAUCGUAAAACUCUGUUAUUAGGGAAGAACAUAUGUGUAAGUAACUGUCGCCAUCUUGACGGUACCUAAUCAGAAAGCCACGGCUAACUACGUG
rnacentral:rRNA from 1 species